rnacentral:rRNA from 1 species
UCGGAACUGAAGAUUUGGUGAUGAGUGGCGGACGGGUGAGUAACGCGUGGUAACCUGCCCUGUACAGGGGGAUAACAGUCAGAAAUGACUGCUAAUACCGCAUAAGACCACAGCACCGCAUGGUGCAGGGGUAAAAACUCCGGUGGUACAGGAUGGACCCGCGUCUGAUUAGCUGGUUGGUGAGGUAACGGCUCACCAAGGCGACGAUCAGUAGCCGGCUUGAGAGAGUGAACGGCCACAUUGGGACUGAGACACGGCCCAAACUCCUACGGGAGGCAGCAGUGGGGAAUAUUGCACAAUGGGGGAAACCCCUGAUGCAGCGACGCCGCGUGAGUGAAGAAGUAUCUCGGUAUGUAAAGCUCUAUCAGCAGGGAAGAAAAUGACGGUACCUGACUAAGAAGCCCCGGCUAACUACGUGCCAGCAGCCGCGGUAAUACGUAGGGGGCAAGCGUUAUCCGGAAUUACUGGGUGUAAAGGGUGCGUAGGUGGUAUGGCAAGUCAGAAGUGAAACCCAGGGCUUAACUCCGGAACUGCCUCUAAUACUGUUAGACUAGAGAGUAGUUGCGGUAGGCGGAAUGUAUGGUGUAGCGGUGAAAUGCUUAGAGAUCAUACAGAACACCGAUUGCGAAGGCAGCUUACCAAACUAUAUCUGAC